rnacentral:rRNA from 1 species
UACAGAGGCCUCGAGCGUUAGGCGGAAUCACUGGGCUUAAAGCGUGUGUAGGCGGACUUCUAAGUGCCUUGUGAAAUCCCACGGCUCACCCGUGGAACUGCUGGGCAUACUGGGAGUCUUGAGCCACCUAGGGGCGAGCGGAACAAAUGGUGGAGCGGUGAAAUGCGUAGAUAUCAUUUGGAACGCCAAAGGUGAAAACAGACAGCUGGGGAUGUGCUGACGCUGAGACACGAAAGCCAGGGGAGCGAACGGG